rnacentral:rRNA from 1 species
GACGUAGGGCGCGAGCGUUGUCCGGAUUUAUUGGGCGUAAAGAGCUCGUAGGCGGCUUGUUGCGUCGACUGUGAAAACCCGCAGCUUAACUGCGAGCCUGCAGUUGAUACGGGCAGGCUAGAGUUCGGCAGGGGAGACUGGAAUUCCUGGUGUAGCGGUGAAAUGCGCAGAUAUCAGGAGGAACACCGGUGGCGAAGGCGGGUCUCUGGGCCGAUACUGACGCUGAGGAGCGAAAGCGUGGGGAGCGAACAGG